rnacentral:rRNA from 1 species
AUUGAACGCUGGCGGCAGGCUUAACACAUGCAAGCCGAGCGGGGGAAGGUAGCUUGCUACCGGACCUAGCGGCGGACGGGUGAGUAAUGCUUAGGAAUCUGCCUAUUAGUGGGGGACAACAUCUCGAAAGGUAUGCUAAUACCGCAUACGUCCUACGAGAGAAAGCAGGGGAUCUUCGGACCUUGCGCUAAUAGAUGAGCCGAAGUCGGAUUAGUUAGUUGGUGGGGUAAAGGGCUACCAAGGCGACGAUCUGUAGCGUGUCUGAGAGGAUGAUCCGCGACACUGGGACUGAGACACGGCCCAGACUCCUACGGGAGGCAGCAGUGGGGAAUAUUGGACAAUGGGGGGAACCCUGGUCCAGCCAUGCCGCGUGUGUGAAGAAGGCCUUAUGGUUGUAAAGCACUUUAAGCGAGGAGGAGGCUCUUUUGGUUAAUACCCAAGAUGAGUGGACGUUACUCGCAUAAUAAGCACCGGCUAACUCUGUGCCAGCAGCCGCCGUAA